rnacentral:tRNA from 3 species
GCCCCUGUAGCUCAGGCGGAUAGAGCAACGGUUUCCUAAACCGUGUGUCGCCGGUUCGAGUCCGGCCAGGGGUACCA